GCUGGGCAUGGUGGUGCACGCCUGUAAUCCCAGCUACUUGGGAGGCUAAGGCAGGAGAAUUGCUUGAACCCGGGAGGUGCAGGUUGCAGUGAGCCGAGAUAGCGCCACUGUACUCUGGCCUGGGAGACAGAGCAAGACUCUGUCUCAA
rnacentral:SRP_RNA from 2 species